rnacentral:rRNA from 1 species
AGUGAACGCUGGCGGUAGGCCUAACACAUGCAAGUCGAACGGCAGCACAGUAAGAGCUUGCUCUUACGGGUGGCGAGUGGCGGACGGGUGAGGAAUACAUCGGAAUCUACUUUUUCGUGGGGGAUAACGUAGGGAAACUUACGCUAAUACCGCAUACGACCUACGGGUGAAAGCAGGGGAUCUUCGGACCUUGCGCGAUUGAAUGAGCCGAUGUCGGAUUAGCUAGUUGGCGGGGUAAAGGCCCACCAAGGCGACGAUCCGUAGCUGGUCUGAGAGGAUGAUCAGACACACUGGAACUGAGACACGGUCCAGACUCCUACGGGAGGCAGCAGUGGGGAAUAUUGGACAAUGGGCGCAAGCCUGAUCCGGCCAUACCGCGUGGGUGAAGAAGGCCUUCGGGUUGUAAAGCCCUUUUGUUGGGAAAGAAAAGCAGCAGGUUAAUACCCCGCUGUUCUGACGGUACCCAAAGAAUAAGCACCGGCUAACUUCGUG